UACAGAGGGUGCAAGCGUUGUUCGGAAUUAUUGGGCGUAAAGCGCGUGUAGGCGGCCGUGCAAGUCGGGUGUGAAAUCCCUCGGCUUAACUGAGGACGUGCGGAAGAAACUGCGAGGCUCGAGUCCGGGAGAGGGGGGUGGAAUUCCGCGUGUAGCAGUGAAAUGCGUAGAUAUGCGGAGGAACACCGAUGGCGAAGGCAAUCCCCUGGACCUGUACUGACGCUCAUGCACGAAAGCGUGGGGAGCAAACAGG
rnacentral:rRNA from 1 species